rnacentral:rRNA from 1 species
CCCCUAGAUGUUCUGGGCCGCACGCGCGCUACACUGAACAGUUCAACAAGUCUUAACCUUGGCCGAUAGGUCUGGGUAAUCUUUGAACGCUGUUCGUGACUGGGAUAGACCUUUGCAAUUAUGGGUCUUCAACGAGGAAUUCCUAGUAAACGCAAGUCAUCAGCUUGCAUUGAUUACGUCCCUGCCCUUUGUACACACCGCCCGUCGCACCUACCGAUUGAAUGGUCCGGUGAAAUCUCGGGACGGCGGCUUGGUCGCUUGCGUCCGACUGCUGAAACUUGAUUAAACCAUAUCAUUUAGAGGAAGGUGANGUCGUNACA